rnacentral:lncRNA from 10 species
GCACCAAGCCAUUCAUAAGGGAUCUGUCGAGGACGGCACCAAGCCAUUCAUAAGGGAUCUGUCCUCAUGAACCAGACACCUCCCACUAGGCCCCACCUGCAACACUGGGGGUGAAAUUUCAACAUGAGACUUGGAGGGGACAGAUAUCCAAAUGAUAUCAGACAUGUAAGUUCAAGAUAAGCGUAGAGCACUUUGUUUUGCUGGAAAUUAACAAAGCGCUCUCCACAAAAAUGAUGGGAACAUGAUACAAGGGCACAGGAACCAGCUUGAAGGGAUCCCACCAGCCAAACCAAUUGAACUUCAAAAAUAAUUAAGUAAUGAAUUGUAAACCAUUAAAAAAUAUGGGAACUCACAAGUCCAACCAAUAAUAGAAAAAAAUGGGAAAGAAGCCAGAGCUCAGUUUAUAGUCUAUGCCAUGGACUAAAUGGCAAACACAGGUAAAUGGGAAAUUAGAAAACCAUCACUUUGCCACCUUCAUAGUAAGGACUGGAUCAGACAAGAAUCAUCAUGCUCAAUCUAGGGGGCAGUGCUGAAAAGCAGCAGGAUACUGGCAUGGACAUAAAAUGUUCCCCCACAGGCUGUUAACCAGUUGCAAGGGAGAAAACAAAAAGUAAUUAUACAAUGGAGAAAUCAGGCAAUAUCUUGAUCAGGUGAUCAAAAUGAACAUCACCUAUGAGGAACAGGUGGACUUUAUGUACCUCCAGAUGUGAUAUUCUAAAGAAGGUAUAACACCCCUGUACAGAAUUUAUACCAAGAAUACAUAACCCCAAUCUAAUCACAAGGAAACAGCACAUAAACACAAAAUGAGGAACGUUUGUUUUUAACGGUGGAGGGGAGAAACUGAAUUCUUCAAAAAUGUUUAUAUAAUGAAAGACAAAAUCUGGAAUGCUCCAGAUUAAAUGGUACUAAAGUCAUGAUGAUUAAAUGCAAUACCUUACUCCAGAUUGGAUCCUGGAAGGGGUAAAAUUGCUACAAAGAACACUAUUAGACAAACUGACAAAAUUGGAAUACAGAUGGUACAUUAGAUAAAAGUAUUGUUCAUGUAAAUUUAUGAAGUUGAUAAUUGUUCUAAAGCUAUAUGAGAUCUCCAUCCUUCGUAAAAAUAAGCUAAAGUAUUUAGUUAUGAUGUAUGUAACUCAUGUUCAAAUGGUUCAGAAAAAAAAUUAUAGAAGGAGAGAGAACAAAUGUUAAAGCAAAGGAUAAAAUGUUUGCCUCAAACAUAAGCUUCUUAAAACAUCCGUAAGAUUAUGUUUACUCCCCUGGGUAAAACCAUCAGGAGCUUUCUACUGCAAAUAAAGUAAAAUCCAAAUUCUUUAUCAGGACCUACCAGGCCAGCAAGAUCGAGCCUCUGAUGGCCUCUCUUAGAUUAUACCAUGACCCCAAACCCGGCAAACCCCUGUGCUGGUUCAUGGAGCUCUCAGAUCCUCAGAAACAUCCCUCUCUCCUGCCUCUGGGAUUUUACACAUUCGGUGUCUUGCCUUGAUAAUAUCCUCGUCCACUCUUAACGUCUGACUUCUUUUCAUCCUGGCAGUUUUAGCUUAGUGCCACCUCCCCACUCCAUUUAAGGUUGGCCUGCCCCCAUUCUCUCAGUAUCCUUUUCUACUAUAUUGUAACUGUUACCCAACAUCCAGGUGCUUAGGAAGGUUAUAUAAUCUGCAGAGUUCACAUAUCAACCACUUCAAUUGCUGACAAAGCUACAAAACACAUUUCAGUAAAUAAGCAUGUUAAAGAGCCCUUAGAAGACACCAAUAAUGUUAUGACUACUGUAAUCAAUCCAGUAGGAAAUAAAAAUGUUUGUUACUGCUCAAUUGCAGCUUACAGUUAAAACAAUACUCUUCAAAAUAUUUUCAGGAGCCUCUAGUUUAAGAAAGUUACUAUGGCUUGGGUGUACAAUCACUACAACUGAUACCUAGCAGAAUGACAACAAUUAAGGCACAGGAAGAAGUUCCAGACAUUGUCCAAUUUCUCAUUGCUACCUUGUUUUCUUAGGAACUUACAACUUCAGACAAGAGAACAUUAAUGCAUUAAUGAGGCUACCAAAAAGAAAAAGAAAAAAAACACAUAGGCAGUGUUGCUACACAUGGAUUAUAAAAUUAUACAUUCCAGUCAUAGUCAGUUAAAAGUACAUAAGCAAAUGUGAUCUAGCAGACAGAGCCUGGGAAUCUAGAUGACCUUGGAUAUCGAAUCUAAUUCCCUGAGUUUGAGUCUCCCCAUCUGUAAAACAAAGAAAUGAAAACUUUCCCAGAAUGGUAAAGAUUAACUGAAACCUGUGAAAACACUGGAUACUUAGUUGGCUUGUAAGUGUCUGUCUAAAAAAUAAUAAUUCACUAGGAAACUGCAAAGAAUAACUGUAAAUUUCCAAAUUUAAGUCGAAAUUGUGUUGUAAGCAUAUUUACUUUAAGCAAGUAACGUAAACUAUGUGCACAAGUAUGGUUUUCGUUGUUUAAAAUGAUUUUCAAUGUAUAAGGUGACUCAAAUGGGAUCUAAUAAGGCACUCACUUCACUUGGUCAGGAACAAUUUCCUGGGUGUCUCUGAUCAAGAAAAGAGAUGAAGAGAAAGAAGCAGGUUUACAAAGGACAAGGAAAGAAGACACAGGAUUAGAAUGGGUUAACAAAGCAAAGAAUAAGCCUUCCCAAAGUGAGCAAUGAAGCAAGUGGAAACAAGGAAAGUUGAACAGUAAAUUUGGAUCCACCAAAAAUCCUCAUGCUUAAAAGGAAGCUCGAAGCCCCAGUGUGGAUUUGUUAUGCACCCAAUACGCUGUUUGUGCUAACUACAUAAUGAAGAUGAGGCGGGGUGAUCCGGACACAGACCUGGACACUCUGACCUCUGGCACAGAAUUGGCUACAGGAGUGCUGGGGGAGAGAGGCAGCAGGGUAGCGGAGUCAUAUCAAGCAACAAGAAACACAAGUUAGUACAUUUUCCACAAAUUUCAAUUUUACUCCCUUCCCUCAUGAUACACACAUACAAAGCAUUUGAAGGAUGGGAAGAAGAAGCUGAGAUCACAGGGAAAAUAGUAAGAGACAUUCAGAAGGGCUGGUCUUAGAGAUUUACUAGUUUGGGGAGGUCAGAGAACAGUAGCAUAUGAAAGAACGCUAAGACAGUUCCCAGGGUUAGGCAUGGGUGACUAGUUUGAUUAUAUCAUUUUGUCCCACUCACAAUGACAAGGAGAAUUACUGAGGGAACACAUGAUGGGGCUGAUAGAGUGCUAGGAGGUGGAUACAUGAAAAUGUAAAUGUCAUCAUUUUGAACACCCAUGGCACUCCAAGUGAGAUUCCCUAACAUAUAUGAUAUACAGACAGAUAUAUGAGUUUGAAACUCUAGAGGUGAAUGCGAAUUUAGGAAUCCCUGGAACACAGGUCAUGACUUCAGUAAUGGGAGUCAAAGAUUACUCAGAGAAAGCACAGAAUGAAAAGAGAAGAAAGAAGUAGGCCAAGGAAGAAGAGAUUGGAGGAGACCAAGGCAGGGUGAUAAGAUCAAAACAGAAGAAAGGAAUCUGAUGGAAGUCCCAUUAGAUUAUCAUGUCCCUUCCCAGAGGAUAGGGACAUGCCUUUUUUGUCUUUUAUACUCAAUUAUCACAGGGCCUGACACAGAAGCCACUCAAUGUUUUUUUAAAUUGGGUUCUACUAUUCACAGUUUGCUGUAUCCACCAGGGGAGAAAAAAGUAUAAACAAGCACAGAUAUGGAUUUUUUUACACUGUGUACUAAAGGGGCCAGAUUAUACACAGUAUUUUAUGCCUUACUUUUUUACUUAAUAUAUCUUAGAAGUUUGCACAUGCUUAUGGAAGGACUGGCUGCAUUUUUUGGUCUACAACAGAAUACUCUAUUAUAAAACUAUACACUAUAAUUUUUAUUUAACCAACUGUUUAUUGGUGGACAUUCAGAAUGGAGGAAUGUUUCAACAAGGGAACAAUCAACAGUAUCAAAAUACUGCAGAGGGGUCAAUUUGGGGACUAAGAGAGGAGACACUGGAUUUGGCAACUAGGAGAUAAAUUUUAGUGCAAUGAUGAAGGCAGAAUCCAGAUUAUAAUGAAUUCAAUGAAAAAAGCUGAAGACAUAUAGAUUAUCUGCUCAAGAAACUAGCUAUGGUAAACUGGCAGAGGCUGUAAGAGUGGGAGGUGAGUUUUCUCCUUCAUGUAAAUAUAUUUACUUUUAUAAACACUAGGCCCAAUUUUAUAUCCUACUUCAUUUAACUUUAUGAACAUGUUUAUGUAAUGUUUUAGUAAAAAAUAACUCAUUUUUGCUAUUAUAAAACUGUUAUCUUUAGAUGUUCAGAAGCAACUUCCUAAAAGGAGGUAGCAAUAACAGAGCUAUGUCUAUCAUUCUUUCCCAUCAACCCCCUUGCUGGAGAAGGAAACAUGUGUCCAUCUAGCUUUUAAUUAAUUUUUACCUCUUAUCUUCAUGGCUCUCCAUAUAAAACUUAACUCUUUUUUUGGUAUAUGUGUAUGUAUAUCUAUAACUAGAGAGAGAGACAGAGAGAGAAGAGGGGGUCUUGCCAUGUUGCCCAGGCUGAUCUCAAACUCCUGGGCUCAAGCAAUCCUUCCACCUUGGCCUCGCAAAGUGCUGGGAUUACAGGCAUGAACCACUGUGCCCAGCCUCAGCCUUAACUCUUAAAAUAUCUUCAAAUCCCUGUUCUUCAUUUCUUAAGAAUAUAUGCGUUUAAACCAACUAUAACUUAUUUUGACAAAAACUGGAGUUAAGACCCAAACUUCCUCAGAUGGUCAGUUCUCCUAAGACUAUUUACAGAAUAAUCUAUCUUUUCCCUAUUAAGUUAAAAUACCACCUUUGUCUUAUAAAAUUCUCAUUAGCAUGACUCUGGUUCUAAACUUCUAUUGCCUUUAUCUGUCUGGCCCAGGGCUAUUCCACAAUAUUUUAUUUAAUAUCUGGUUGAACAAGUCUAUUCUUUAUUAUUUUUUAUUAUUUACUCUUCUACACAAACUUUAGAGUCAUUUUUUCAAGUUCCAAAAAUAAAUCUGCUGGGUUUUUUUUUUUUUUUUUAAGACAGGGUCUCACUCUGUCACCUAGGCUGGAGUUCAGAGGCAUGAUCUCAGAUCACUGCAAUCUUUGUUUCCAAGGCUCAAGUGAUCCUCCCACCUCAGCCUCCUGAGUAGUUGAGACUACAAGUGUGUGCCAUCACACCCAGCUAAUUGUCAUCUACCCGCCUCAGCUUCCCAAACUUUUGGGAUUACUAGUGUGAGCCACUGUGCCCAGCAGAAAUUAUAUUUAUAAAUUAAUAUGAAGACAUGGUGAUAAUUAACAUAUUUAUAAUAUGAAAUCUGCUCAUCCAGGGACAUAGAAUGCAAAUCUUUCAUUCCACUCAGCAAAAUUUUGUCAUGUUCUUGAUAAAAGUCCUGCACAUCUAAGUUUAUUCCUAGGUAUUUAAUUUUUGCUGAAAUACUUGAAAAAAUACUUUAUCACUAUAUCUCCUAUGUGAUUAUAGCUAAUAUUGGGGUAGGCUAUUGAUUUUUCAGUAAUGGGGCUUUUAACCAGCAACCUUAAAAAUUGUUGUCAGUUGGUUCCUUUGGAUAUUUUUAGGUAAACAAUUAUGUCAACUUAAAAUAAUGAUUGUUAUUUUUCUAUAAAGAUUAUGACAUCAUGGGAAAAUACGGUAAAUGCUUUUUUAAAAUUUUUAAUUUUUAAUUUUUUUAGAGAUGGAGUCUCACUCUGUC